rnacentral:rRNA from 1 species
AGAGUUUGAUCCUGGCUCAGAGCGAACGCUGGCGGCAGGCCUAACACAUGCAAGUCGAACGAACUCUUCGGAGUUAGUGGCGGACGGGUGAGUAACACGUGGGAACGUGCCUUUAGGUUCGGAAUAACUCAGGGAAACUUGUGCUAAUACCGAAUGUGCCCUUCGGGGGAAAGAUUUAUCGCCUUUAGAGCGGCCCGCGUCUGAUUAGCUAGUUGGUGAGGUAAAGGCUCACCAAGGCGACGAUCAGUAGCUGGUCUGAGAGGAUGAUCAGCCACAUUGGGACUGAGACACGGCCCAAACUCCUACGGGAGGCAGCAGUGGGGAAUCUUGCGCAAUGGGCGAAAGCCUGACGCAGCCAUGCCGCGU